AUGAACGCUGGCGGCGUGCCUAAUACAUGCCAGUCGAGCGAACGGACGAGAAGCUUGCUUCUCUGAUGUUAGCGGCGGACGGGUGAGUAACACGUGGAUAACCUACCUAUAAGACUGGGAUAACUUCGGGAAACCGGAGCUAAUACCGGAUAAUAUUUUGAACCGCAUGGUUCAAAAGUGAAAGACGGUCUUGCUGUCACUUAUAGAUGGAUCCGCGCUGCAUUAGCUAGUUGGUAAGGUAACGGCUUACCAAGGCAACGAUGCAUAGCCGACCUGAGAGGGUGAUCGGCCACACUGGAACUGAGACACGGUCCAGACUCCUACGGGAGGCAGCAGUAGGGAAUCUUCCGCAAUGGGCGAAAGCCUGACGGAGCAACGCCGCGUGAGUGAUGAAGGUCUUCGGAUCGUAAAACGCUGUUAUUAGGGAAGAACAUAUGUGUAAGUAACUGUGCACAUCUUGACGGUACCUAAUCAGAAAGCCACGGCUAACUACGU
rnacentral:rRNA from 1 species